AUUUUCAGCGAUGGAUGUCUUGGCUCGCGCAACGAUGAAGGACGCAGUGAAAUGCGAAACGCGAUGUGAAUUGCAGAAUUCAGGGAAUCAUCAGAUUUCUGAACGCAAAUGGCACCUU
rnacentral:rRNA from 1 species